AGGAUGACCCUGGCUGGACACCAGGCACCCACCAAAGUCUCUCUGUCACUCCCCUUCUCAGCUGGCCAGGGGAGAGAAAACAUAACAUGAAAGGCACAAGGGAGGAGA